UGGGGAAUCUUGCACAAUGGGGGAAACCCUGAUGCAGCGACGCCGCGUGAGCGAUGAAGCCCUUCGGGGUGUAAAGCUCUUUCGGCAGGAACGAUAAUGACGGUACCUGCAGAAGAAGCUGCGGCUAACUACGUGCCAGCAGCCGCGGUAAUACGUAGGCAGCAAGCGUUGUUCGGAGUUACUGGGCGUAAAGAGUGCGUAGGCGGUCCUCUAAGUUCGGUGUGAAAUCUCCCGGCUCAACUGGGAGGGUGCGCCGGAAACUGGGGGGCUUGAGUAUGGGAGAGGAAAGCGGAAUUCCUGGUGUAGCGGUGAAAUGCGUAGAUAUCAGGAGGAACACCUGUGGUGUAGACGGCUUUCUGGACCAUGACUGACGCUGAGGCACGAAAGCGUGGGGAGCAAACA
rnacentral:rRNA from 1 species